rnacentral:lncRNA from 1 species
GUUGGCUGCGCGGGCUGUGACCUUUCUCACAGCAUGGUAUUCGUCAUUGUUUUGUUUGCGAGCAUCUAUAUAUGCCGUGGAAGUUCUGGGGAGAGAGUUUCAGAAAAAGAAAACUGAAACUAAGAAGGAAAUCAAAAGCAAAAAGCCAGAAACUACUUCUUUAGCCCUUUUCUUUAUGAUCUCAGGACUUCAGGGACCUUGAAAGAUUGAUUUCCUCUCACUCAAGUUUCUUAUAAAAUUAGCUUUGGCUCAUACAUCUGUAACACAGUAGUUAAUUUUACAAGAUAAGCAGUACAGGGGAAAUGUAUCUGAGGGGAAAAUCGAGUGCUGGAAGCUCGAGAGACACUUAUAAGGUCACAAAACAAAGCCGACAGCAAGUUUCAGGAAGAGCAUAACCACAGAAGGUCUCCACAAGCAAGCUAGCUGAAGCCAGUUCUAGACGCCUCAGACUGCUCCAGAAUGAACUAAAGUAAACUGUCCUCAUUAUAAUCUCAUUGUAAUAUUAAACUCUCCACCCAGGGCGAGACUAAUCCACCAUUUUCUAUACAUGCAAUGCAUGAAGAAACAUGAUUAAUGAUUGUGCUUGUACCAGAAUCCCCUCCUCCUACAUGUGAUGAC